rnacentral:rRNA from 2 species
UGGGGAAUAUUGCACAAUGGGCGAAAGCCUGAUGCAGCAACGCCGCGUGAGCGAUGAAGGCCUUCGGGUCGUAAAGCUCUGUCCUCAAGGAAGAUAAUGACGGUACUUGAGGAGGAAGCCCCGGCUAACUACGUGCCAGCAGCCGCGGUAAUACGUAGGGAGCGAGCGUUGUCCGGAAUUACUGGGCGUAAAGAGUGCGUAGGCGGCAUAUCAAGUCAGGUGUGAAAUAUUAGGGCUCAACCCUGAAACUGCAUUUGAAACUGAUAAGCUUGAGUAUGGGAGAGGAAAGCGGAAUUCCUGGUGUAGCGGUGAAAUGCAUAGAGAUCAGGAGGAACACCGGUGGCGAAGGCGGCUUUCUGGACCAUAACUGACGCUGAGGCACGAAAGCGUGGGUAGCAAACAGG